GGGAAAUAAAAGAGGCUUGACAAUAUUCAGUCCACUUCUGGAUCCUUAUUCUUAUAGACAUAUGAGAGUGUUGCGGGAAAAAUAAAAAGUUUUGAUAAACCACCUACAAGUCAUUAUUUUGAAGAAUAAUAUAAAUUAUCAGGCGGUCUCAAAUAGGGAAUUCCACCAAAGACUGUCAAAUCGUGGAAGUUAAUUUUUUACAUUAACUUUCAGCACAUUUAUUGGUAAAAUUAUGGAUCACAUCUUUAUGAAAAUACAGCUUUUUCAAAUUAAAGAUUUGUUAUUCAAAAAGAACACCCCUGAAAAAGUCACUAUAAGACGAAACUUGUUGGGUGAAAGCAUAUCAAUAUUUUGCAUUGAAAAGUUGAAACUCAAUAUUGUAUUUCUAAUGAGCAAUAACACAUUGUGAAAAUGUUUACCAAUUCUUUUUAAUGUAAAUUUGAAUUGUUUUGUUUUAGUAAUA